AGAGCAAAGUGUCGGCUGCUUGGUAGCGUACUUUUUCAAUCGGGUUUAAUAGUAGGUUUGCCGUAUAUUUUAAAGCAUGAUGCCUCAAAAGUUCAUUUUUGGAAAGAAAAAGCGUCCGAUAUAACUCUAGUAUCGCAGAAAGUCCCCCUGGUGAUUUACAAGUAAGAGCCCUUCUCUGUACAAUAAAAAUCGCUUUUGACAUGCUGAUAUCAUUAGUAUUUUGAACAAAAUGUAAAAAAACAUACCCCUUAACGUUUUGAAAGUCCGUGAAACAACCAUAUGCUAACAAAGAUGUGAAAGAUUUCAUGAUUGGAAAAUAGAAACGAGCUAUUUCAUCCUCCGAAGAAAGUAUGUCUAUAUAGAGUUGUAGAAGAUCCCGUUUA